CUCUCCAUUGCCCAUCCACGGCCAAACGCCCCUGCUGCUCGCCAGUCGCCACCAUUCGAUCCGCUCGUCAUUACUGCGAGACCCAGUGUUUCGAUUUCCAAAUGGGAUCAAAGGACCGGCUUCUAGAACCAUUCCUAGGUCUAGCCGAUUCGACAUCGACGCUCUAUCUAGACCUCUCCUUUGACCGCCUACUUGAGUCCAGGCCUUGUGAUUCGGACCAGAACGAUAUGAUAAGCGAGCGAUGAAGAUGGGUUCUGUGCUCCUCGAAGCCCAUAAGAGAUCUGCCAGAAAGCAUGCCACAAUGCACAACGCCGUCGUUUGGGCCCUGCCUCCUGAUCUCACUACCAAAAUUCGUGUCAAUUGAUUUAUUUUUUUGGGGGGUAAGGUUUGGGUUUUGGUUAUUUGUUCGGUUGGAGUGCACAAAACUCUUUGACGAUUUACCUGGAACACUGGAUAUGGAGUCUACUAUUGUGAUCAAGAGGGUGCAAUCUAAAUGUUACUUGCCAGAAUGCAUAAAUUCUCAAUUGGCUCAAUGAUAGAGUUUACAUGGGCUAUCCUCAAUUUCCCACGAUCCCAAUGAUUUGUAUUUUGUGCCUUACUGAUAGCUGACUGCACACCUCUAUUUUGAUUAAGGUAGGAGGAAGAACUCUAGACAAUUUUGAAUAAAGUUGUGCAAAGUUUGCUACUUGAGCCUUACCCGUCAGAUUGAUAGUUGCUGAGAAGGCUACCUUGUGUUAGCUAGAAUGAAGGAGUAUCGUUCAAUAUUCAGUGUUCCAUGGAAAGAUCAGAGACAAAAAAGUGAAUAAGUUGUAUCUUCCUCUUGCUGCUGCUGCUCCUCUUCCUGUUGGAGUAAUUACCCAAGCUAUGUGACAUGUCAAUAUGGCUCCAAGAAUUCUUUCGGAAGGUAACCAGCUCUGUUAACCCACAUAUUCAUUUUAAACAUUUUACUAAGUUGGGUUAGUGGCUAGAGUAUGUCUAUUGGUACUACCAUACUGCAAUGGAUGAAUGGUAUGACCUGCACAGAUGUGGUCAUUUUUUGUGUAUUUGUAGACUUUAUUGAAUUAAAAGAGCUUAAUUGCAUUUUGCUAA